rnacentral:rRNA from 1 species
UGGGGAAUAUUGCACAAUGGGCGAAAGCCUGAUGCAGCGACGCCGCGUGAGGGAUGACGGCCUUCGGGUUGUAAACCUCUUUCAGCAGGGACGAAGCGCAAGUGACGGUACCUGCAGAAGAAGCACCGGCUAACUACGUGCCAGCAGCCGCGGUAAUACGUAGGGUGCAAGCGUUGUCCGGAAUUACUGGGCGUAAAGAGUUCGUAGGCGGUUUGUCGCGUCGUUUGUGAAAACCAGCAGCUCAACUGCUGGCUUGCAGGCGAUACGGGCAGACUUGAGUACUGCAGGGGAGACUGGAAUUCCUGGGGUGGCGGGGAAAUGCGCAGAUAUCAGGAGGAACACCGGUGGCGAAGGCGGGUCUCUGGGCAGUAACUGACGCUGAGGAACGAAAGCGUGGGUAGCGAACAGG